CGGGGGGGGGUGCUAUACAUGCAGUCGAGCGGACAGAUGGGAGCUUGCUCCCUGAUGUUAGCGGCGGACGGGUGAGUAACACGUGGGUAACCUGCCUGUAAGACUGGGAUAACUCCGGGAAACCGGGGCUAAUACCGGAUGGUUGUCUGAACCGCAUGGUUCAGACAUAAAAGGUGGCUUCGGCUACCACUUACAGAUGGACCCGCGGCGCAUUAGCUAGUUGGUGAGGUAACGGCUCACCAAGGCGACGAUGCGUAGCCGACCUGAGAGGGUGAUCGGCCACACUGGGACUGAGACACGGCCCAGACUCCUACGGGAGGCAGCAGUAGGGAAUCUUCCGCAAUGGACGAAAGUCUGACGGAGCAACGCCGCGUGAGUGAUGAAGGUUUUCGGAUCGUAAAGCUCUGUUGUUAGGGAAGAACAAGUGCCGUUCAAAUAGGGCGGCACCUUGACGGUACCUAACCAGAAAGCCACGGCUAACUACGUGCCAGCAGCCGCGGUAAUACGUAGGUGGCAAGCGUUGUCCGGAAUUAUUGGGCGUAAAGGGCUCGCAGGCGGUUUCUUAAGUCUGAUGUGAAAGCCCCCGGCUCAACCGGGGAGGGUCAUUGGAAACUGGGGAACUUGAGUGCAGAAGAGGAGAGUGGAAUUCCACGUGUAGCGGUGAAAUGCGUAGAGAUGUGGAGGAACACCAGUGGCGAAGGC
rnacentral:rRNA from 1 species